AAGGGCAAUGCCGCUUGUAAGCUCUUUCGUCGAGUGCGCGAUCAUGACAGGACUCGAGGAAGAAGCCCGGCUAACUCCGUGC
rnacentral:rRNA from 1 species